UUAACAGAAGGAAAAGUGACAUUCAUUACUCCCCCUUAAGGUUGUAUUUAUCACAAAAUGGGAUGCACAAUGUUACAACCAAAAUCUUCAAUCCCCUAUCCAGUAGUAUGCUAACGGCCUUGCCGCAGUGGUAACACAGGUCCCAUCAGAUUAUCAAAGUUAAGCGCUGUCGGGCUUGGCUACCACUUGGAUGGGUCACUGUCUGGUCUGCCGAGCGCUGUUGGCAAACGGGAUGAACUUAGGCAUUGUGGGGCCAAUUGAGGAGCUACUUGACUGAGAAGCAGUGGCUCUAGUCACGAAAACAUAACGGCCAGGAGAGUGGUGUGCUGACCACAUGCCUCUCCAUAUCCGCAUCCAGUGACCCCCAUAGGCUGAGGAUGACAGGGCAGUCGGUCAGUACCGUUAGUGUCUUCCAACAGCUGUUCGGACGGAGUUUAGUUUAGUUUUAUCCAGUGGUACAAAAUGUAUGACAGACAGCAAAGCAAAAUUUGAAAACAAACUGAUAAAAUUUCUCUUUUAUAACUCCUAUUAUAUGGAAAAAGUAUAUUAACUCUUAUCUGUAUACUAAAAAAAAGCUUGUAAACGGUCAACAUCUAGCCCUAUUAACAAAAAAUACGUGAUGUGAAUAAAAUGACUCAUUCCACAUUAUUACGGUUUAUCAUGCAAAUGACCCAUGUAUCAUGAAACUAAUUAAACCACUUUAUUUAAUAAGAAAGUCUCAGUGGAACCAUGAAGUCUUUUAAUCCUUAAAGCAUAACUUCAUUUUCGUGCUAUUGAUGACAAUGAUAAGGAAGGUGGAUGAUGAGUUAUUGUGCAGUGCUGUCUUUUUGUUGAAGACAACUAAAUGAAGGGAGACGGCGAAGAUGGGGCCAAAUGACUGAACAGCAUGGUGGCUUAUAAGCUCAAUAGAUAGACCAACAACAGCAGCAGCACACAGUGCCCUUCCGUAAUUUUCUUGAUAUUAUCCCUGUUGGACUCCUCCCCUUGUUGUUCAAAUUCUGGUUAUAGAAAUUUCGUUCAUAAUCAGUGCUUUUAUACCCAAUUCGUUUUGUAUGGGUUAUGAGAUUGUGUGUAAAAUGUAUUUGUAAACAGUUGUGUUCUCUUCUGUGACAGCUUUUUAUUAAUUAUGCCUUUGUGUAUCUUAAAUACAAUAAAAACAAUAUAAAUAUUACAAAAUUAAUAACUUAUGAUAUAUACAACCACAAAAUGUAAGAGACCACACACGUCAUAUUCUGCUGUACCAGGCAGUAGAUACAAAACAGAUGUCGCACUGUUUUGGUAAGAAUAAUAUCGUGUGUAUUUAGAGUAGCUAAUG